GACGAACGCUGGCGGCGUGCUUAACACAUGCAAGUCGAACGCUGAAGCUUGGUGCUUGCACUGGGUGGAUGAGUGGCGAACGGGUGAGUAAUACGUGAGUAACCUGCCCUUGACUCUGGGAUAAGCCUGGGAAACUGGGUCUAAUACUGGAUACGACAUGUCACCGCAUGGUGGUGUGUGGAAAGGGUUUUACUGGUUUUGGAUGGGCUCACGGCCUAUCAGCUUGUUGGUGGGGUAAUGGCUCACCAAGGCGACGACGGGUAGCCGGCCUGAGAGGGUGACCGGCCCAACGGGAACGGGAACAGGGCCCAAACCCCUAGGGGGGGAGGAGGGGGGGAAAUUGGCAAAAGGGGGGAAGGCCUGGUCCGGCAACCCCGGGGGGGGGAGGACGGCCUUCGGGUGGAAACCCCUUUUCACCGCGAAAAAAGCGAAAGGAAGGGAACGGGCAAAAAAGACGCCGCUAAAUUAGGG
rnacentral:rRNA from 1 species